rnacentral:rRNA from 1 species
UGAGGAAUAUUGGUCAAUGACCCCAGUCUGAAACAGCCCAGUAGCGUUCCGGAAUACGGCCCUUUGGGUUGUAAACUUGUUUUAUUUGGGGGUAAAGGGGGGAACGUUUUUCCUUUUGCAGGUUCCAUAUGAAUAAGGACCGGCUAAUUCCGUGCCAGCAGCCGCGGUAAUACGGAAGGUUCGGGCGUUAUCCGGAUUUAUUGGGUUUAAAGGGAGCGUAGGCCGUUUGGUAAGCGUGUUGUGAAAUGUAGGAGCUCAACUUCUAGAUUGCAGCGCGAACUGUCAGACUUGAGUGCGCACAACGUAGGCGGAAUUCAUGGUGUAGCGGUGAAAUGCUUAGAUAUCAUGAAGAACUCCGAUUGCGAAGGCAGCUUACGGGAGCGCAACUGACGCUGAAGCUCGAAGGUGCGGGUAUCGAACAGG